rnacentral:rRNA from 1 species
UCCUACGGGAGGCAGCAGUGGGGAAUAUUGCACAAUGGGCGCAAGCCUGAUGCAGCCAUGCCGCGUGUAUGAAGAAGGCCUUCGGGUUGUAAAGUACUUUCAGCAGUGAGGAAGGGGAUGUCGUUAAUAGCGGCAUCUCUUGACGUUAGCUGCAGAAGAAGCACCGGCAAACUCCGUGCCAGCAGCCGCGGUAAUACGGAGGGUGCGAGCGUUAAUCGGAAUUACUGGGCGUAAAGCGCGCGUAGGUGGUUUGUUAAGUCAGAUGUGAAAGCCCGGGGCUCAACCUCGGAACUGCAUUUGAAACUGGCAAACUAGAGUACUGUAGAGGGGGGUAGAAUUUCAGGUGUAGCGGUGAGAUGCGUAGAGAUCUGAAGGAAUACCAGUGGCGAAGGCGGCCCCCUGGACAGAUACUGACACUCAGAUGCGAAAGCGUGGGGAGCAAACAGGAUUAGAUACCCUGGUAGUCCACGCCGUAAACGAUGUCUACUUGGAGGUUGUGGCCUUGAGCCGUGGCUUUCGGAGCUAACGCGUUAAGUAGACCGCCUGGGGAGUACGGUCGCAAGAUUAAAACUCAAAUGAAUUGACGG